rnacentral:rRNA from 1 species
CGCAGGCGGUGACUUAAGUGAGGUGUGAAAGCCCCGGGCUUAACCUGGGAAUUGCAUUUCAUACUGGGUCGCUAGAGUACUUUAGGGAGGGGUAGAAUUCCACGUGUAGCGGUGAAAUGCGUAGAGAUGUGGAGGAAUACCGAAGGCGAAGGCAGCCCCUUGGGAAUGUACUGACGCUCAUGUGCGAAAGCGUGGGGAGCAAACAGGAUUAGAUACCCUGGUAGUCCACGCUGUAAACGAUGUCGAUUUGGGGGUUGAACUUUAAGUUUGGCGCCCGUAGCUAACGUGAUAAAUCGACCGCCUGGGGAGUACGGCCGCAAGGUUAAAACUCAAAUGAAUUGACGGGGGCCCGCACAAGCGGUGGAGCAUGUGGUUUAAUUCGAUGCAACGCGAAGAACCUUACCUACUCUUGACAUCCAGAGAACUUUCCAGAGAUGGAUUGGUGCCUUCGGGAACUCUGAGACAGGUGCUGCAUGGCUGUCGUCAGCUCGUGUCGUGAG